UUGAUAGGUCAGAGGUGUAAGUGCGGUAACGUAUUUAGCUGACUGAUACUAAUAGGUCGAGGGCUUGACCAAAUAA
rnacentral:rRNA from 1 species